rnacentral:rRNA from 1 species
GAUGAACGCUGGCGGCGUGCUUAACACAUGCAAGUCGAACGGGAAACCUUUUAAAGAAGCUUCGGCAAAUUUAGCUGGUUUCUAGUGGCGGACGGGUGAGUAACGCGUGGGUAACCUGCCUUGUACAGGGGGAUAACAGUCAGAAAUGACUGCUAAUACCGCAUAAGCGCACAGGACCGCAUGGUCCAGUGUGAAAAACUCCGGUGGUAUAAGAUGGACCCGCGUUGGAUUAGCUAGUUGGUGGGGUAACGGCCUACCAAGGCGACGAUCCAUAGCCGGCCUGAGAGGGUGAACGGCCACAUUGGGACUGAGACACGGCCCAGACUCCUACGGGAGGCAGCAGUGGGGAAUAUUGCACAAUGGGGGAAACCCUGAUGCAGCGACGCCGCGUGAAGGAAGAAGUAUCUCGGUAUGUAAACUUCUAUCAGCAGGGAAGAA